CAACAGGGAUUGCCUCAGUAACGGCGAGUGAAGCGGCAACAGCUCAAAUUUGAAAUCUGGCCUCUUUGGGGUCCGAGUUGUAAUUUGUAGAGGAUGUUUCGGGUACCGCCUCGGUUUAAAUUUCUUGGAACAGAAUGUCAGAGAGGGUGAGAAUCCCGUCUUGGACCGGCGGUAGGGCCCAUGUGAAACUCCUUCGACGAGUCGAGUUGUUUGGGAAUGCAGCUCAAAAUGGGUGGUAAAUUUCAUCUAAAGCUAAAUAUUGGCCAGAGACCGAUAGCGCACAAGUAGAGUGAUCGAAAGAUGAAAAGCACUUUGAAAAGAGAGUUAAACAGUAUGUGAAAUUGUUGAAAGGGAAGCGCUUACAACCAGACUUGCGCGCGGCGGUUCCCCCUUCCUUUUGGUUGGGCUACUCCGUCGUGUCCAGGCCAACAUCGGUUCUGGGGGUCGGUUAAAGACCUUGGGAAUGUACCUACCCUUCGGGCGUAGACUUAUAGCCCAGGGUGUCAUGCGACCUCCCGGGACCGAGGAACGCGCUUCGGCUCGGAUGUUGGCGUAAUGGUUGUCAGCGACCCGUCUUGAAACACGGACCAAGGAGUCUAACAUCUAUGCGAGUGUUUGGGUGUCAAACCCGGAACGCGAAAUGAAAGUGAACGGAGGUAGGAAGCCUUAAGGCUGCACUAUCGACCGAUCCUGAUGUCUUCGGAUGGAUUUGAGUAAGAGCAUAGCUGUUGGGACCCGAAAGAUGGUGAACUAUGCCUGGAUAGGGUGAAGCCAGAGGAAACUCUGGUGGAGGCUCGCAGCGGUUCUGACGUGCAAAUCGAUCGUCAAAUCUGGUAUAGGGGCGAAAGACUAAUCGAACCAUCUG
rnacentral:rRNA from 1 species